rnacentral:rRNA from 1 species
UACGAAGGGGGCUAGCGUUGUUCGGAAUUACUGGGCGUAAAGCGUAUGUAGGCGGAUCGUUAAGUCGGGGGUGAAAUCCCGAGGCUCAACCUCGGAACUGCCUUCGAUACUGGCGAUCUUCGAGUCCGGGAGAGGUGAGUGGAACUCCGAGUGUAGAGGUGAAAUUCGUAGAUAUUCGGAAGAACACCAGUGGCGAAGGCGGCUCACUGGCCCGGUACUGACGCUGAGGUGCGAAAGCGUGGGGAGCAAACAGGG